rnacentral:rRNA from 1 species
UACGAAGGGGGCUAGCGUUGCUCGGAAUCACUGGGCGUAAAGCGCACGUAGGCGGACUCUUAAGUCGGUGGUGAAAUCCUGGAGCUCAACUCCAGAACUGCCUUCGAUACUGAGAGUCUCGAGUCCGGGAGAGGUGAGUGGAACUGCGAGUGUAGAGGUGAAAUUUCGUAGAUAUUCGCAAGAACACCAGUGGCGAAGGCGGCUCACUGGCCCGGUACUGACGCUGAGGUGCGAAAGCGUGGGGAGCAAACAGG